UCCGAAUUAUACACAAUAUUUCUUCAUGAAAUCAUCGUUAGUAAUAUAUAGAUGAAGGAUGUCGUUUUUUAAUGGAUGAAGCAGUUUAUAAAUAUCAAAAACAAAAAGGAAGCACGAUGAGAGAGGAUAUAGAGUCACAGAGAUUAGUGUUUUUAAGUUAUUUUUUACUAUUAAAGGAGCCCUCAGUACUUCACAUUCAACGCUUACAAAACGAUGAACAUACGGGCUUUGUUUUGUUGCUUUUCCUCAAUUUCUUUAUUUGCGUGUGCUGGAGGCUUUGGCUGUAGGAUCAAUUGAUUAAAUAUCUUAUUAAGCGUGAAGAUGUUUAGCCAAAGGGCAAUCAAGUACAAUUAUUCUCUGAGUAUCGGGUAUUAGUUCUCCCGAGGAGGAAAACUAUAGGUGGUCACCUUUUCUGGCGGUGAUUUACCACCACUUAGCAAAACAGAUAUCCACACGUGCAUUACUUCUUUCACAGGACAGCGGUUUCUUUGGUGGGUCCGCCUUUUAAAAAUCUGCCGUUUAGUGGUUGCAAGCUCAUAGCACUAACAACAAAGAAGCGAGAACAAAAAAGACGGGUGUUUUUUUUUUUCUUUUUUUUCUUUUUUUUUAGGCACUGGGAUACUAAGGCCGGUCUCCAUAGGAGACCUUAAGGCGCUUAUCUGAGUUCCCCUCUCCUGCAGGGGUAGGGGCACGGGCCCUCUCUAUAGAGUUAUAAUGUCUGUCUCGAAAGACUGAAAAAGCGAAAAAUAUCGGGCCCGGACUCCCACCAUUUGGCCUAGUGUGAUGGAAAACCGCUAAAAACCACCACCGGGAAAGGCAGCCUUAGGCACAAGAGCGGAGGUCAUCUGGACACCUGCCAGCAAGGACUACCCGAUUUAUGAGCUCCUCGCCUAGAAGGCUCUCGGUGCUCGAAUCGAGUUAAAAAACUUCGAAUACUCAAGCUCCCAAUUAGGAGUGAUCGCAGCGCUAACGCGCGUCAUGGAGACGGCGAUAACGUACCCUGCCCCAUGGCUCGUAAUAAGUUCGCUCACCAGCAGGCGAUUAGUGUGGCUAGCUAGUCUGUCGUAAGGGGCAACUGACAUUACGUUGGAAGAGGACGUCUAAAGGGUUUGUUCCGCAGAGAAUGCUUGCUCUUGCCGCAUAGUAAAGGGAAAGUUUGUUGUUAAUGAUGACUCCCAAGUAUUUAGCUUCUGAAUACGGAACCUUCACGCUAUCAAAGGUUAAGGACGCCAACAAAGAGACGCGUUUCUUAGUAAUUAAAAAUUCUUUGCUCC